GCGCUUUGCGUGGGCCAGAGAAAAUAUGAUAUUCCGUUUAAUCAUAGACUAAAAUCGGUGCUCAAUACCUUAGCCUAUUUCAUGCCCGGAAUACA
rnacentral:snoRNA from 1 species